rnacentral:misc_RNA from 1 species
GAUGAAGAACGCAGCGAAAUGCGAUACGUAAUGUGAAUUGCAAAUUCAGUGAAUCAUCGAGUCUUUGAACGCACAUUGCGCCCCCUGGUAUUCCGGGGGGCAUGCCUGUCCGAGCGUCAUUGCUGCCCUCAAGCACGGCUUGUGUGUUGGGCCCCGUCCUCCGAUCCCGGGGGACGGGCCCGAAAGGUAGCGGCGGCACCGCGUCCGGUCCUCGAGCGUAUGGGGCUUUGUCACCCGCUCUGUAGGCCCGGCCGGCGCUUGCCGAUCAACCCAAAUUUUUAUCCAGGUUGACCUCGGAUCAGGUAGGGAUACCCGCUGAACUUAAGCAUAUCGAUAAGCGGAGGA